rnacentral:rRNA from 1 species
UACGAAGGGGGCUAGCGUUGCUCGGAAUCACUGGGCGUAAAGGGUGCGUAGGCGGGUCUUUAAGUCAGGGGUGAAAUCCUGGAGCUCAACUCCAGAACUGCCUUUGAUACUGAAGAUCUUGAGUUCGGGAGAGGUGAGUGGAGCUGCGAGUGUAGAGGUGAAAUUCGUAGAUAUUCGCAAGAACACCAGUGGCGAAGGCGGCUCACUGGCCCGAUACUGACGCUGAGGCACGAAAGCGUGGGAG